rnacentral:rRNA from 1 species
GAUGAACGCUGGCGGCGUGCCUAAUACAUGCAAGUCGAGCGAACAGACGAGGAGCUUGCUCCUCUGACGUUAGCGGCGGACGGGUGAGUAACACGUGGAUAACCUACCUAUAAGACUGGGAUAACUUCGGGAAACCGGAGCUAAUACCGGAUAAUAUAUUGAACCGCAUGGUUCAAUAGUGAAAGACGGUUUUGCUGUCACUUAUAGAUGGAUCCGCGCCGCAUUAGCUAGUUGGUAAGGUAACGGCUUACCAAGGCAACGAUGCGUAGCCGACCUGAGAGGGUGAUCGGCCACACUGGAACUGCGACACGGUCCAGACUCCUACGGGAGGCAGCAGUAGGGAAUCUUCCGCAAAGGGCGAAAGCCUGACGGAGCAACGCCGCGUGAGUGAUGAAGGUCUUCGGAUCGUAAAACUCUGUUAUUGGGGAAGAACAAAUGUGUAAGUAACUAUGCACGUCUUGACGGUACCUAAUCAGAAAGCCACGGCUAACUACGUG